rnacentral:rRNA from 1 species
CACUCAUCACCCCUGUGACAUACCUAAACGUUGCUUCGGCGGGAACAGACGGCCCCGUGAAACGGGCCGCCCCCGCCAGAGGACCCCUAACUCUGUUUCUAUAAUGUUUCUUCUGAGUAAAACAAGCAAAUAAAUUAAAACUUUCAACAACGGAUCUCUUGGCUCUGGCAUCGAUGAAGAACGCAGCGAAAUGCGAUAAGUAAUGUGAAUUGCAGAAUUCAGUGAAUCAUCGAAUCUUUGAACGCACAUUGCGCCCGCCAGUAUUCUGGCGGGCAUGCCUGUUCGAGCGUCAUUACAACCCUCAGGCCCCCGGGCCUGGCGUUGGGGAUCGGCGGAGCCCCCCGUGGGCACACGCCGUCCCCCAAAUACAGUGGCGGUCCCGCCGCAGCUUCCAUCGCGUAGUAGCUAACACCUCGCGACUGGAGAGCGGCGCGGCCACGCCGUAAAACACCCAACUCUUCUGAAGUUGACCUCGAAUCAGGUAGGAAUACCCGCUGAACUUAAGCAUAUCAAUAAGCGGAGGAAAAGAAACUCCGCCA